AUCCCCGAGCAAUCGGGGUGAGAGUGGCGCACGGGUGAGUAACGCGUAUGCAACCUACCUUUAACUGAGGGAUAGCCCAUAGAAAUGUGGAUUAAUACCUCAUAGUUCUUUUGAUCCGCAUGGAUUGAAAGAUAAAGCUCCGGCGGUUAAAGAUGGGCAUGCGUGACAUUAGCUAGUUGGUAAGGUAACGGCUUACCAAGGCUACGAUGUCUAGGGGUUCUGAGAGGAUGAUCCCCCACACUGGUACUGAGACACGGACCAGACUCCUACGGGAGGCAGCAGUGAGGAAUAUUGGUCAAUGGGCGCAAGCCUGAACCAGCCAUCCCGCGUGCAGGAUGACGGCCCUAUGGGUUGUAAACUGCUUUUAUACACCAAGAAAAAACAGGACGUGUCCUGGACUGACGGUAGUGUAUGAAUAAGCAUCGGCUAACUCCGUGCCAGCAGCCGCGGUAAUACGGAGGAUGCAAGCGUUAUCCGGAUUCAUUGGGUUUAAAGGGUGCGUAGGCGGCUUUUUAAGUCAGUGGUGAAAUCCUGCCGCUUAACGGUAGAAUUGCCAUUGAUACUGAAGAGCUUGAGUACAGUUGAGGUAAGCGGAAUGUGUAGUGUAGCGGUGAAAUGCUUAGAUAUUACACAGAACACCAAUUGCGAAGGCAGCUUACUAAACUGAUACUGACGCUGAUGCACGAAAGCGUGGGGAGCGAACAGGAUUAGAUACCCUGGUAGUCCACGCCGUANACGAUGUUCACUCGCUGUUUGCGAUACACAGNAAGCGGCCAAGCGAAAGCAUUAAGUGAACCACCUGGGGAGUACGAUCGCAAGGUUGAAACUCAAAGGAAUUGACGGGGGCCCGCACAAAGCGAGGAACAUGUGGUUUAAUU
rnacentral:rRNA from 1 species